AUAAUAACGAUAAGGGCGACGUAAAGUCGCCCAUUUUGUCUCUUCUUAACAUUAAUUGGUUUGGCCGCCGACAAGUUAAGAAGCUUCAAUUCUGGCGUUACGCAUAGCUGGCUGUUAGCUCUAUUCCUUACUAGUUUCACGACUAACAGUUUUUGUAACCAAAACCUGAGCUUAGCUCGGGUUUUUUUAU
rnacentral:sRNA from 1 species